GUGUGUAAAGGGUAUUUUUUUAUGUCUGUUUAUUAUAACUUCUCUGAAGUGGAUACACUGGAGAGGGAGAGGGGAUUUUGAAGCUGGGGCACCAUAUAAGCUGUUGUUAUGAAUACAGUGUGUUAUUGGGACUGAUGAUGGACAAACUCCCCAUGACAACAACUGGCAUGUCUGCUAAUGGAACCCGACAGGUGACACAAAGCCAAUAAGACCAACAUGUCACAUCUAAACCGGCUAACAUAGAGCACACACACACAUGUUCAGAUUUCAAGCCACAUAUUUUGCCUGUGCGCACGUAGUGCUUUUAACUAACUGCACAGACACAACACAAACAGCCUGGCAGCAUACCACAACUGACAAAGGCGAUAGACGCUUAUCCGCAAGCACAAACACGGCCUUAUAUCAAGUGUUUGAUGACAUUUUGAUGGUAACAACCAUCUUUGUGAGGCAGGCCAGUUUCUACGACUGUUUUGAUUACUCACUCUUAGUCAUCGGCAGCAGCAGCAGCAGCAGCAGCACCGGCAGCGGCAGCAGCACCGGCAGCGGCAGCAGCAGCGCUGAGGCCCCAUGUGCCACAUACCAUGACAACCACAGCAGCACAAAGAGCCCUAGCAGUGCCAAAGAGACUUGUAAAACCAAAGAAACCAAGUCUCCAAAGCCUGAAAGCCUGUGAGCAGUCAUUCAAACCAAAGAUCUGAAGCAACGGCACCAUGAAGCUAUCCACCUACCUCCUCUGCCAUCCACCAAAAAUGUCGGUGACCAACAGGUAUGAGCCCUUAAAGGAUGUGAUGUCAACCCCUCCUCUCCUCAGAUGGCUGUUUCCCAUACAGCGGGACCCUACCUUCAAAUGUCAACUUCACGAGUACAUCAGUACUGACCUCGACAGUCAAGCUGUGAUUUUGCAGUGUGAUGAUGAUGAUGAUGAUGCAGUAUUUCUAACUGUGAAGCAGUGGGAAAAUAUCCAGUGCAAGCUGCUAUGCAUCCCCUUCUUUGCACGCUACAGACUAUGGAAACCCUUCGAUGUCUGGCACAAAAAUGUUUGUGCCAAAAAGAUAACUUUGGCCAUGGAGUCACUAUAAAAAAAAUUGUGUU